GUUAAAAAGCCCAAACAUAAGACAUCUCUCAUGCCUUCACCAGUUUUUGAAAAACAUUUUUAAUUUUUUUAUUCAAAUUUGGACUCUGACGUACCAUAUAUUCUCUCUUUUACCUCUUUUAUCGCUCUUGUAUAUCUUUGAAUUUUUUUUUCUCUUUUAUAUAACCAACCUAAAAAACAAACUAAACACAAAGGAUCCGAAAAAAAUAACUGGUUUGGUUUUUCUGUCUUUCCCUCCUCUAAGAUCUGUUACAGAGUAAAUUUACAGGGAUGAAGCGAAUACGGGAUGAUAUAUAUUCUGGUUCUCAAUUUAAGCGUCCAUUUGGUUCCGUGAAGGCUGAAUCCUAUGGGCAAAACCAAAUGUCGGGUGGAGGUGGAGGUGGAGGUGGAGGUGGAGGUGGAGGUGGAGGUGGAGGUGGAGGUGGAGGAGGAGGAGGAGGAGGGGGAGGGGGAGGCGGAGUAACAGGGGGGGGAGCUAUGUCACAGAAACUGACUACAAAUGAUGCCUUAACGUAUCUAAAGGAAGUCAAGGAGAUGUUUCAGGAUCAAAAGGAAAAGUAUGACAUGUUCCUUGAAGUCAUGAAGGAUUUUAAGGCUCAAAGGACUGACACAGUUGGUGUCAUUGCCCGAGUGAAGGAAUUAUUCAAAGGGCAUAACAACUUGAUUUAUGGAUUUAAUACCUUCCUGCCAAAGGGAUAUGAAAUAACCCUUGAUGAGGAUGAGGCUCCUCCAAAAAAGACUGUUGAAUUUGAAGAAGCAAUCAGUUUUGUAAACAAAAUAAAGAAACGUUUCCAAAAUGAUGAGCAUGUUUAUAAAUCAUUCCUGGAUAUCUUGAAUAUGUACCGGAAGGAGCACAAGGACAUAAAUGAGGUCUACAGUGAGGUUGCUUCUCUUUUUGAGGACCAUCCAGAUCUGCUUGAGGAGUUCACUAGAUUUUUACCAGAUUCAUCAGCAGCACCUUUGACACAACAAGUUCCAUAUGAUCGAAACUCAACUCAGCGUUAUAAUGAGCGAAGCUCUGCUACACCCACCUUGCGGCAUAUACAAAUGGACAAGCAACGUCGGAGGGAUAGGAUUAUUACCUCCCAUGCUGAUCGGGAUCUCAGUGUUGAUCGUCCUGACCUAGACGACGACAAAGCUAUGGUGAAAACGCAAAAGGAGCAGAGAAAACGCAUGGAAAAGGAAAAUAGGGAUCGGAGAACUCGUGAUCAGGAUGAUCUUGAGCAUGACAACAAUAGGGAUUUUAACUUGCAGCGUUUUCCUGACAAAAAGAGAUCUGGAAGGAAGAUUGAAGGAUUUGCUUCUUAUGAUGAUAGGGAUACUUUAAAAAGCAUGUGCAACCAAGGAUUCAUAUUCUGUGAGAAAGUUAAGGAGAGGCUAUGCAACUCAGAUGACUACCAGGCAUUCUUAAAGUGCCUUCAUAUUUAUAGCAAUGGAAUAAUCAAAAGAAAUGAUUUGCAAAAUUUGGUGACUGAUUUACUUGGCAAGUAUUCAGAUCUUAUGAAUGAGUUCAAUCAGUUCUUGGAGCGCUGUGAGAAUGCUGAUGGGCUCCUUGCUGGUGUUAUUAGUAAGAAAUCACUUAGUGGUGAUGGACAUGCAUCCAGGCCAUUCAAGUUAGAGGAAAAAGAUAGAGAGCAGAAACGUGAAAUGGAGGGAGCUAAGGAAAAGGAGAGAUUCAGGGAGAAGUAUAUGGCAAAAUCCAUACAGGAGCUUGACCUUUCUAACUGCCAGCGUUGUACUCCAAGCUAUCGGCUUCUGCCUGAUGAUUAUCCAAUACCUUCAGCAAGUCAGAGAUCAGAGCUUGGUGCUCAAGUGCUGAAUGAUCAUUGGGUAUCUGUGACUUCAGGAAGUGAGGAUUAUUCUUUUAAGCACAUGCGCAGAAAUCAGUAUGAAGAGAGUUUGUUCAGAUGUGAGGAUGAUAGAUUUGAGCUGGACAUGUUGUUAGAAUCUGUGAGCUCAACUGCCAAGCGUGUUGAGGACUUGCUGAACAGCAUUAAUGAAAAUAAAAUCAGUAUGGAUUAUCCAGUUCGUGUAGACGACCACUUUACUGUUUUAAAUUUAAGGUGCAUUGAGCGUUUAUAUGGUGACCAUGGUCUUGAUGUAAUGGAAAUAUUACGUAAAAAUCCUGCUCUUGCAUUGCCUGUCAUUUUAACUCGCCUGAAGCAGAAGCAAGAAGAGUGGACAAAGUGCCGUUUAGAUUUUAACAAGGUUUGGGCUGAAAUUUAUACGAAAAACCAUUACAAAUCACUUGAUCACCGCAGCUUCUAUUUCAAGCAGCAGGAUUCGAAGAACUUGAGUGGAAAAUCUUUAGUGGCUGAAAUCAAGGAGUUGAAAGAAAAGAACCAGAAAGAGGAUGAUGUUCUUGUUGCUAGCAUUGCUGGUCACAGACAACCCCUAGCUCCACACCUUGAAUAUGAAUAUUUGGAUGUUGACAUUCAUGAAGACCUAUAUAAACUUAUAGAAUAUUCAUGUGAAGAGAUGUGCUUGACCAAAGAACAGUUAAAUAAAGUCAUGAGGCUUUGGACCACUUUCUUGGAGCCAAUGUUGGGUGUUCCUCCUCGACCUAAUGCCAGAGAGGGUACUGAUGAUAAUGGUAAAGCUCAGAAUCCUGCUGUAAACUGCACUGCAUCAAACAUUGCUGAAAGUGAUGGAAGUCCUGGAGCGGACGCUGCUGUUAAUUCGCAACAAAAGGCUGCCAGUGAUGGGGACGAGAACAGUUCACCAGAACUAACUAAUUCUUGCAGAAAUGGGUUGACAAAUGGGGAAGCUUUAGCCAAAGAAGAACACUCAGGUCGUGUCUCUAGAGAUGAUUCAAUGCUAGAGAAAGAGAUCAAAUUUAUAUCUGAUAAAAGGCCUGGAAUUAACAUGCUUGCAAUUGGAAUUGGAGCCCUUGCAUUUGAAGCAGAAAAUAAUCACGACAGCAACAAUGUUGAAGAGGCAUCAGGGGGUGGUGCAGCUGCAUCUAGACCUAGCGUUGCUGCUGGUGAGGACCAUGAACCUGAAGCUAAUGCUGAUUUUGUCCAUUCAUCAGAGGGUGGUGAUGUAACAAAACAUGCUUUAUUAGUAAAUGGAGUGCCUACAGAUAGCUCAAAUGCUAGUAGAUAUCAUGAAGAAUCUGCUGGUCCCAUCAAAAUUGAAAAAGAAGAAGGUGAAUUAUCACCUAAUGGUGAUUUUGAGGAGGAUAGUUUUGUUGCGUAUGGUGAUACUGGUCUAAAGGCUAUGCCAAAGGCAAAGCACGGAGUUGAAAACAGACACUACUGUUCUGGAAAUGGGAAAGAGUUGCAUUAUGAAGAUCCUGGAGGAGAAAAUGAUGCAGAUGCUGAUGAUGAGGAUAGUGAAAAUGCCUCAGAGGCUGGUGAUGAUGCAUCAGGCAGCGAGUCUGCAGGUGAUGAAUGCUUUCGUGAAGAGCAUGAAGAGGAGGAAGAGGUAGACCGUGAUGAAGUUGAUGGUAAAGCUGAGAGUGAAGGUGAGGCCGAAGGGAUGGCUGAUACACAUGUGGGAGGAGAUGGCACUUCCUCGUCAUUUUCAGAACGUUUUCUUUUUACAGUGAAGCCCCUUGCAAAGCAUGUACCUGCAGUUUUACCUGAGGAAGAUAGAAACAGUUCUUGGGUUUUUUAUGCAAAUGAUGAUUUCUACGUUCUUUUCAGACUUCAUCAAAUUCUAUAUGAAAGAAUAGUGUCAGCGAAAACAAAUUCAACGGGUUCUGAAAUAAGGUGGAAAAAUUCAAAAGAUGCUAGUCCUUCAGAUUUAUAUGCCAGAUUUAUGAGUGCACUAUACAGUCUGCUUGAUGGAUCUGCCGAUAAUGCGAAGUUUGAGGAUGAAUGUCGAGCUAUAAUAGGAAACCAGUCAUAUGUGUUAUUCACAUUGGACAAGUUAAUAUAUAAAUUGGUUAAGCAGCUUCAAGCUGUUGCAGCAGAUGAGAUGGAUAAUAAGCUUCUCCAAUUGUUUGAGUAUGAAAAAUCCCGGAAACAUGGGAAGACAAUGGAUUCAGUGUAUUAUGAGAAUGCACGUGUCCUCCUUCAAGAGGAGAAUAUAUAUCGAUUGAAAUGUUCAUCUUCUCCAUCCAGGUUGUCUAUGCAGCUGAUGGACAAUGUCAUUGAAAAGCCUGAGGCAUUUGCUGUUUCCAUGGAACCUAAUUUUUCAGCUUUUUUGCACAAUGAUUUUCUUUCAGUCUUUCCUGGCAAAAAGGAGCCACAUGGCAUUACACUAAAGAGAAACAAGAAGAGUUAUGCAACUCUAGAUGAAUUUGCUGCUACUUGUAUGGCCAUGGAAGGUGUUGAACUGGUUAAUGGUUUAGAGAACAAGAUAGCUUGCAACUCAUACAAGAUUUCUUAUGUGUUGGACACCGAAGAUUUCUUCUUUCGUAGGAGAAGAAAUUCACGACAACCCAAAUCUUCAUAUAAUAAUCAGGCAAGAGCACAACGGUUUCAGAGAUUUUUAUCCGCGUCACAAUAAUUUAGCAUUCUUUCUCUCAGACUGGCACAAAAGAAGCCCUUGGUUGUGCAACCAAACCUCUAAAGGCUUUGGAAACCGGAGACAUGUUUCUUGUAUGUUCAUAGUUGAAUGUAGUUGGCCAUACUAGCACUGAAGAAAGGAAGAAUGAUUAAGAAAUGUAGCAUAUUUGGGCCACAUGUUUUAUUUUCCCCCCACUUUUCCCGGCUUCUGCUUCCAAUCUGCUCAUCUUAGCUCAUGGUGGAGCUUCCUGACUGUAACGACUUUGAAGUAGGAUUUUAAUUAACUGAAAAGUUCCCUCUCACCCACGCUCUCUCUCGAUUGUAUAUCAGCUGUUUGACAAAUGACAAUUUAUUACCUCUUCUAUCCCAUGUCC